GAGCUGUUUCCCAGGAGGUUUGUCCUCGCCAUAGAGGAGAGGUGGCGAGAGGGGCUCGCGUUGCACAGUGGGGGUUGUAGUUCAUCUUCGUGUCGAGGAUACCCAGAAGAGACCAACAGCGAACUACAAGGCCCAGAUAUCAUCAAAUUCUGCCCACCCUCUCCUCCAGCUUCUGGCCCUUGUUGACAGCUCGUCAGAUUCAAAACUAAGAAGACGUACAGGAUUGGCGAGCUCCUCCCUCCUCAGGUGUGAUACAGCAAUGUGCAGUUGCUGUGAGAGGAGAAGCUUCAGGGUGGCUGCCUGCAAAUGUCCAGGGAGCUGCGGAAACACAGGCAACUUGCAGAAGUCAGCGCUGUGCUAUGUCUGCUUCACUGUGCUAAGUGCACUCUUCGGUGACAGCUGCCUGAGUCACUCUCGCUCCUUUGUUGAAGAAGAAGAAGAAGAAGAAGAAGAAGAAGAAGAAGAAGAAGAAGAAGAAGAAGAAGAAGAAAGAGAGAGAGAGACAUUCUGUAGAGACAUUAAAUGAACAGGCACUGGAGUUCUUAAAAAAAAAAAAAAAAAAAAAAAAAAAAAA
rnacentral:lncRNA from 1 species